GAUGAACGCUAGCGGCAGGCCUAAUACAUGCAAGUCGUACGGCAACACAGUUGCGAGCAAUCGCAACCGGUGGCGAGUGGCGCACGGGUGAGUAACGCGUAUGUAACCUACCCUUCUCCGGGACAUAACUCCGCGAAAGCGGUGCUAAUAUCCCAUACCAACUCAUCAAGACAUCUUCUUGAGUUGAAAGCAGCAAUGCGGUGAAGGAUGGGCAUGCGUCCCAUUAGCUGGUUGGUGAGGUAAUGGCCCACCAAGGCGACGACGGAUAGCGGGUGUGAGAGCAUGACCCGUCUCACUGGGACUGAGACACUGCCCAGACUCCUACGGGAGCUGCAGUCAAGAAUAUUCCUCAAUGGCCAAAGGCUGAAGGAGCGACGCCGCGUGUAUGAUGAAAGCCCCUUCGGGGUGUAAAAUACUUUUAAACCGGGACGAAGUACUGACGGUACCGGUUGAAUAAGGGGCUGCUAACCUCGUGCCAGCAGCCGAC
rnacentral:rRNA from 1 species